CGGGCUGUAGCGUAGUCUGGUAGCGCGCUUGCAUGGGGUGCAAGAGGUCGUGAGUUCGAAUCUCACCAGCCCGACCA
rnacentral:tRNA from 10 species